rnacentral:rRNA from 1 species
CAGUAGCCGCGGGAAUACGUAGGGCGCAAGCGUUAUCCGGAAUUAUUGGGCGUAAAGCGUGCGUAGGCGGUUUGUUAAGUCUGCUGUGAAAUCCCCGGGCUCAACCUGGGAAUGGCAGUGGAUACUGGCAAGCUAGAGUGUGCCAGAGGAUGGUGGAAUUCCCGGUGUAGCGGUGAAAUGCGUAGAGAUCGGGAGGAACAUCAGUGGCGAAGGCGGCCAUCUGGGACAACACUGACGCUGAGGCACGAAAGCGUGGGGAGCAAACAGGAUUAGAUACCCCCGUAGUCCCUGUCUCUUAUAC